rnacentral:rRNA from 1 species
GACGGAAGGUGCAAGCGUUGCUCGGAAUCACUGGGCGUAAAGGGUGCGUAGGCGGCCGUGCAAGUCUGGCGUGAAAGCCCCGGGCUCAGCCCGGGAAGUGCGCUCGAAACUGCGCGGCUCGAGUGCCGGAGGGGAGAGUGGAAUUCCUGGUGUAGCGGUGAAAUGCGUAGAUAUCAAGUGGAACACCAGUGGCGAAGGCGAGUCCCUGGACAACACCUGACACUGAGGCACGAAAGCUAGGGGAGCAAACAGG